GUUUGUCGUGGGAGCUGAGACAGAUGGACUAGUGAGGAGCUCCACUGCAGGGAAUACUCAGUCUCAGUUGCUGACCAUGCUGGAUGAAGUUCAGUUAGAGGCCCAGGCACUGGAGAGGUACCUGCUCUGGAACCAGUCAUGUGAGAACCGAUCAGAUACCUGGCUGGGGCAGUUAGGGGAGGAGCCUAUGUUAAAAAGAGGCCUUCAAGAUGGCUGAAGAGAGAGAGGGGGCUGAUUACCUGUGCUGUUUUAGUUUGUCUUUUUAAUCUCUUGUGUUGGGAGUGUGCUUAUUUUAACCUUGCAAGAUGGCCUUUUAUGUUCGAGGAAGUGGUGGUAUUUUACAAGAGAUUGUUUGUACCACCUGGGGUGUCAAACAGCUAAGCGGGGCGCGCCUGUACAUUCACAUCAUGUAGAUGUCUACUCUUUCUAGUUCCCUAGGUGAGAGGGUAGGCACCACCACAUGUACUUGUGGUGACUGGCUAGGGAAGUGUACAGUAGUUGGCUUGUUGGCUUUAGUUUUUUUUUUUUUUUUUUUUAGAUUAGCCAAAUAUUGUUUGAGUAGGUAAGCGUGGUGUGGUUUUGAUUUGUUCUUUUCUUUGGUGCCGUCCAGUUUGAUUCUUCCAGUGUGGUACUAGAUAUCACAGCACUCUGGUUUUCUUGAUGUUUGUUGUAAUACAAAUGGACUCAAAAGCUCUAUAUUGGUCUGUUCCUCACACUUCUAAUCAAUUCUCACCAGUUCAGCAUUUUAAUGCCACAUGUUACUGAUCCCACAUACCCUAGACAAAAUGUGGGGUCAUAACAAUUGUUAUCACUGUUAAAGUAAUGGUUUCAUAAAAAUAAAAAAAUUAAAUGUGUACAAUUUUCCACUUACCCCAGUAAAUCCACCAAGACAUGUUUGGUGUCCAAAUUCGUUUUGUGCUCUUUCAGUUGAGCGUGCUAAAAACCAGUAGUCAAUAGUCAGCCAAAUCUCACAUAGACUCUAGAAUUCAUUUUCUGUUGUUUAUAUUUAUAAUCAUUUAUUUUUAGUUCAACAGUUGCAUGUAAAAAGAGACAACAGAAACAGUGUAUCUAAUUUGUAGCGUCCAUAUGUUGUGCAUGCAUAUGAAUGGGAAUGGUGCAGCACAACACCUGUUGUAGUUUUGUGUACUAAACCACACUGACAACUCUGCAUGACCUUAAUGAAGACCUAGAUGUGGCUGAAGCAGGUUGGGUGGUUAUUGACUUCUAGUGGUUGUUAGCUACAUUAGCUUCAUAGCUCCAGUUUUAAAAUAACUAAACAAAAUUUCAUUCAGAAUGUCUUGGCUGAUCAAAUACAUCCGAAGUAAGAGGAGAGCUGUGUAGACUCAAUUUUUCUUUGGGUGUUGCUACUGAAAUUGUGCUUUAUCAGUUGGGGAAGCUUCCUCAGAUAGACUACAUAUAAUGUAUAAUGCUGUAUAAUGCUUACUACAAUGUCUCUUCUUGGCUAAGGCCACCACUCCAUUAUUCAACUAUGCAAUAAAUCAUAAGAAAAAAUA